UACGUAGGGGCGAGCGUUGUCCGGAAUGACUGGGCGUAAAGGGCGUGUAGGCGGCCGAUUAAGUCCGGAGUGAAAGUCCUGCUUUCAAGGUGGGAAUUGCUUUGGAAACUGGUUGGCUUGAGUGCGGAAGAGGUAAGUGGAAUUCCCAGUGUAGCGGUGAAAUGCGUAGAGAUUGGGAGGAACACCAGUGGCGAAGGCGACUUACUGGGCCGUAACUGACGCUGAGGCGCGAAAGCGUGGGGAGCGAACAGGAUUAGAUACCCUGGUAGUCCCUGAGCGGG
rnacentral:rRNA from 1 species